AUAGCUGGAUAUUCCUCCCCUGCAUGUACUUUUGUUUCCUGGGGGCAGUGAGUCUUGGAAACAUUUGUGAAAUUCUUAUUCUGAGUUUGCCUGGCCACAGCCCAGGUUCCUUCACGGACACUUCAGCAUCAGGCUCUCUCCUCAGCUUUCUUUCUAUCUUCUGUGCCCUCUGCUCAUAAACCCCAGCUCAUAGAAGCUGAAGUCACCUAGACUCCAAGACACCUGAUUGUAGAGACAGGAAAGGAGUUCUCAGGAUAUGUGCCAUAAUUUCAUACUGGUUUCUACAAGAAUCAGGGUUGGAAUUAGAGCUGAUUCAUUAUUCAGUUAACAUUGACAUUGUUGAUUAGAGACAUAUCCCUGUUGAAAAUAUUUCCCGGCAAAAAACAGAAGUUCCCUUUGGCUCUGAAAUCUGCAAAGCCCUUUCAGAUGUCCCUGUGUCCUUGUGCCGUCACUC